rnacentral:rRNA from 1 species
UACGAAGGGGCUAGCGUUGCUCGGAAUCACUGGGCGUAAAGCGCACGUAGGCGGAUUGUUAAGUCAGGGGUGAAAUCCUGGAGCUCAACUCCAGAACUGCCUUGAUACUGGCGAUCUCGAGUCCGGGAGAGGUGAGUGGAACUGCGAGUGUAGAGGUGAAAUUCGUAGAUAUUCGCAAGAACACCAGUGGCGAAGGCGGCUCACUGGCCCGGUACUGACGCUGAGGUGCGAAAGCGUGGGGAGCAACAGG